rnacentral:rRNA from 1 species
UUGGAAUGGGCGCAGCUGAUCAGCCAUGCCGCGUGCAGGAUGACGGCCCUAUGGAUUGUAAACUGCUUUUAUACAGGAAAAAACACUCGGACGUGUCCAAGCUUGACGGUACUGUAGGAAUAAGGAUCGGCUAACUCCGUGCCAGCAGCCGCGGUAAUACGGAGGAUCCAAGCGUUAUCCGGAUUCAUUGGGUUUAAAGGGUCCGUAGGCGGAUUAAUAAGUCAGUGGUGAAAUCCCUACGCUUAACUUAGGAACGGCCAUUGAUACUGUUAGGCUUGAAUUAUUAGGAAGUAACUAGAAUAUGUAGUGUAGCGGUGAAAUGCUUAGAGAUUACUUGGAAUACCAAUUGCGAAGGCAGGUUACUACUAAUGGAUUGACGCUGAUGGACGAAAGCGUGGGUAGCGAACAGGAUUAGAUACCCUGGUAGUCCACGCCGUAAACGAUGGAUACUAGCUGUUGGGCGCAAGUUCAGUGACUAAGCGAAAGUGAUAAGUAUCCCCCCUGGGGAGUACGUUCGCAAGAAUGAAACUCAAAGGAAAUUGACGGGG